GCCAGAGUGGUUUAGUGGUUUGAGCAUUGGGUUGUGGAGAUCAGGGUUCAAUUCCCUGCUCAGCCA